rnacentral:lncRNA from 1 species
UAGGUGGCAUAAAACGGCCCCACUGGGCGCGACCUUUAUCAGGUGGCAUAUCACGGCCCCAUCGGGCGCGACCUCUAAUAGGUGGCAUAUAACGGCCCCACUGGGCGCGACCUUUAUCAGGUGGCAUAUCACGGCCCCAUCGGGCGCGACCUCUAAUAGGUGGCAUAUAACGGCCCCACUGGGCGCGACCUCUAAUAGGUGGCAUAUUCACGACCUCAUCUCUCCUCAAUUCCCACACUUAGAAAUUUAUAAAGAAUCCAUAUAUAUCGCAAUCACACUCAAUUCGCCACAACCAAUCAUCAAUAUCAAAUUCUAAAUGCACAGCAGCGAUCGGCACGAAAUUCUGAGCAAAUAAGGUUCCCAAAUAAUUUUCAGAAUUUAUUAAAUAAU